AAAAGACCCCGAUGACGUCAAAGCCCGUUACAGAUGAGCUGCCGCUGACUUCCGCCUGAUCAGAAAUGCACGAGGACACUCGGGGACACUUUACUCAACCGCAUAUAUGGUGAUAAAACAAGAAGCUCAUCUAAACUCAUCCUCAGUGAAGAUGGAGCGUGUGGUUUCUACAGACGCUUCCCUUCAGACACAGAAAGCUUCAUUAUUUUUGCCCAGAGCUGCAGCUGUUUCUGAAGGUCUGGAGAACGGGAGUCUCUCUAGGAGACGCAACUGAAGAAAUCCAGUGUUACGACUGGAAUAAAACACAGCAGGAGUUGAGCUGCUGCCCAGGAACGUCCGGCCAAAAGCCUUUAUGGCAGCAGAGGCUGGAUUUUCCAGGAACCCGGAGCUGCCUGAUGUCAUCCGAUGUGUUUUCAAGGAGGAACACGUAGUGGAAGCUGGAGUGUGGUGGAGGUCUUCAUCAUGACAGGGUUUGGAGUCAGAGCUCUUGUUUUGGCCUUAGGUCUUUAUAAAGGCUCCCGGCCCUCAGAUCGGCUCCAGAGCGCUUCACGGUCAGUAAACAACACUUCUCUCCCAGAAAUCCUCUGGUCCAAUCACAGCGUCCGGCACCUGGGUCAUCGACACCUGCUCCCCGUUUCUGCUCGGAUUCUCCAGUGCUGUCAGCUGUGAAACUGAGAAUGGAUGAGAAGAUGUUUUCAUCCAAAGUGACUCCCACUGCAGUCCAGAUUUGAUCAGGGAAUCGAACCCAUGAACGACUGUUUGAGCUACAGGAAUGAGCGGUGCUGACGUCAUCAAUCGCUCUUAUUUAUCAACUUACCAUCCAAUCAAUCCAUCAUGAAGAUUUUUUUGUUCAUACUGAGCGAGCUCAUCUUUAACACUAGUACAGUGGGUUAGUGCAGUCAUGUGUGUACUGUACUGUACUGGAGCGUGACGUGUGUCUGAGGCGGCAGUGCAGCGGCUCCGAGGGGAACAAAAGCCUCCCAGUGUGGCGUUUGUGAUCCGCACCUGCUCG